GCAUACCCAUCACCACUGUUGCAGCUGAGUCAGCUUUCAGUGUUGCGUCCUUUCAGAAAUCGAAUUCUUCCCAAAAAUGUGCAAGCACUAAUUGCCACUCGAAAUUGGCUAAGAGGAUUUGAAGAGUUUGAAGGAAAUAUUGAAGAUUACUUCGAUGAUGAAGAUGAUGAAUCUGUAAAAAGUAGCUCAGAAGUUAGAGACUCUAGCACAUGAAGCAAGAUGAAGAUGUGGGGUUGUCAUUCUGUGACAAGGAAGUAAUAGAGUCAAUGAAAAAUUGAAAAGAAAGAAGUCAUAUGCGUUAGAAGAGCCCAAGAGCAGAAGGAACCUUUAUCAAAAUAGAACUUUUUUACAAUUUUUACAAUGUCUUAGACUUGUUUUUUUUUCAAACUAAGUGUCGUGGUUUGCUAUUUAUAUAAGACUCAAACCUUUGAUUUAAUGUUAUUUGAUUUAACUUUUUAUAUGA